rnacentral:rRNA from 1 species
GCGGCGUGCUUACACAUGCAAAGUCGNACNAUGGAACCNCAUUUCGGGCGGGGAAUUAGUGGCGAACGGGUGAGUAACACGUGGGCAAUCUGCCCUGCACUCUGGGACAAGCCCUGGAAACGGGGUCUAAUACCGGAUAUGACUGUCCAUCGCAUGGUGGAUGGUGUAAAGCUCCGGCGGUGCAGGAUGAGCCCGCGGCCUAUCAGCUUGUUGGUGAGGUAGUGGCUCACCAAGGCGACGACGGGUAGCCGGCCUGAGAGGGCGACCGGCCACACUGGGACUGAGACACGGCCCAGACUCCUACGGGAGGCAGCAGUGGGGAAUAUUGCACAAUGGGCGAAAGCCUGAUGCAGCGACGCCGCGUGAGGGAUGACGGCCUUCGGGUUGUAAACCUCUUUCAGCAGGGAAGAAGCGAAAGUGACGGUACCUGCAGAAGAAGCGCCGGCUAACUACGUGCCAGCAGCCGCGGUAAUACGUAGGGCGCAAGCGUUGUCCGGAAUUAUUGGGCGUAAAGAGCUCGUAGGCGGCUUGUCACGUCGGUUGUGAAAGCCCGGGGCUUAACCCCGGGUCUGCAGUCGAUACGGGCAGGCUAGAGUUCGGUAGGGANAUCGNANUNCUGGUGUAGCGGUGAAAUGCGCANAUAUCAGGAGGAACACCGGUGGCGAAGGCGGAUCUCUGGGCCGAUACUGACGCUGAGNANCAAAGCGUGGGGAGCGAACAGGAUNNAUACCCUGGUAGUCCCNCCGUAAACGGNGGGCACUAGGUGUGGCAACNUUCCCGUUGUCCGUGCCGCACA